CCUACGGGAGGCAGCAGUGGGGAAUAUUGCACAAUGGGGGAAACCCUGAUGCAGCGACGCCGCGUGAGUGAAGAAGUAUUUCGGUAUGUAAAGCUCUAUCAGCAGGGAAGAAAUAGCGACCUUUGGGUCGCCAGACGGUACCUGAUGAAGAAGCCCCGGCUAACUACGUGCCAGCUGCCGCGGUAAUACGUAGGGGGCAAGCGUUAUCCGGAUUUACUGGGUGUAAAGGGAGCGUAGACGGCAGCGCAAGUCUGAAGUGAAAUGCCGGGGCUGAACCCCGGAACUGCUUUGGAAACUGUGCAGCUAGAGUGCAGGAGAGGUAAGUGGAAGUCCUAGUGUAGCGGUGAAAUGCGUAGAUACUAGGAGGAACACCAGUGGCGAAGGCGGCUUACUGGACUGUAACUGACGUUGAGGCUCGAAAGCGUGGGGAGCAAACAGGAUUAGAUACCCCAGUAGUC
rnacentral:rRNA from 1 species